rnacentral:siRNA from 1 species
UGUGAUAUCCGGAAGCAACGCGCA